rnacentral:rRNA from 1 species
AUGCAGACCGCCAUCAUCGCGAGCAACGACUCCAGGAACCAGACCAUUGACUUCUCGUGGGACGUCGAGCCAAACCACGCCUACCCAGUUCCCGGGUGCAUUGGUAUCUUGUACGUCGCGGAGCUGCAGAUCCUGGCCAGUAAUGAUGUGCGCGAGUUUAAUGUCAUUGCCAACGGCAAGAAGAAUAAGCUCCCGUACACGCUCGAGUACCUCGUCGCCGACGCCAUAUCUAACAGGGAACCCCAUCAUGGCUACAACCAAUACAACUACACCAUGAUCGCUACUGCCAACUCGACACUGCCACCGAUCAUCAAUGCCUUCGAGUUUUUCUCCGUCAUCUCCACAGCCAACGUUGGAACGGAAAGUCAGGAUGUUUCUGCCAUCAACGCCAUUAAGGCUCAGUACCAUGUGAAGAAGAAUUGGAUGGGUGACCCGUGCGCCCCGAAGAAUUUUGCAUGGGACGGGUUGACCUGCAGCUAUGCUAUUUCUGGGCGUCCAAGAAUUACAAGCAUAGAUUUGACUGCGAACCAGCUUAGUGGAUCAAUUCCUCCCGGGCUUCUCAAGAGAACUCAAGGUGGCCCCCUAGUUAUUAGAUAUGGCAACAAUCCAAGCCUUUGUAGCAGCAAUAGUUCUUGCCAGCUCACAAAAAAGAAGACCAACUCUAUGCUUGCCACCUAUAUUGUUGUUCCCGUAUUUGUAGUUCUGCUGAUAGGAGCACUUGUAGUACGACUGAUCUUCAUAGUGAGAAAAAGGAAAGGAUUGGCAAGGGGAAGCCAUGGACAUGGACAACACGAAUUGGAGAACCGCCAGUUCACGUAUAGGGAGCUGAAGGUCAUAACAGACAACUUCAAGGUAGUGCUCGGCCAAGGUGGGUUCGGCACUGUUUAUGAGGGCUUCUUGCAUGAUGGUACUCACGUUGCAGUCAAGUUGUUGUCUCAGUCUUCCAGUCAAGGUAUUAAAGAGUUCUCGACAGAGGCUCAGACAUUGACGAAGAUUCAUCACAAGAAUCUUAUCUCCUUAAUUGGUUACUGCAAAGAUGGAAAGUAUUUGGCACUUGUCUACGAGCAUAUGUCUGAAGGAAACCUCGAAGAUAAACUCAGAGGGAAAGACAGCAAUGUUGUACCCUUAGCCUGGAGGCAGAGGCUCCGUAUUGCACUAGAAUCCGCAGAAGGGCUUGACUAUCUACACAAGGCGUGCAGCCCUCCCUUCGUGCAUCGUGAUGUGAAGACAUCAAACAUCCUACUGAAUGCAAAUCUCGAGGCCAAAGUUGCUGACUUUGGCUUGAUGAAGGCUUUCAAUCAUGACGAUGAUACCCAUGUAUCCACAGCGCGGGUUAUUGGCACAAGAGGCUACCUCGCACCGGAGUACGCAAUAUCCCUACAACUGAAUCAAAAAAGUGAUGUGUAUAGCUUCGGCAUCGUACUACUAGAGGAAGGCCAUCCACAUCAUCCAGUGGACACGACUACACCUCAAAGGAGGCAACAUUGA